rnacentral:rRNA from 1 species
UACAGAGGAUGCAAGCGUUAUCCGGAAUGAUUGGGCGUAAAGCGUCUGUAGGUGGCUUUUUAAGUCCGCCGUCAAAUCCCAGGGCUCAACUCUGGACAGGCGGUGGAAACUACCAAGCUGGAGUACGGUAGGGGCAGAGGGAAUUCCCGGUGUAGCGGUGAAAUGCGCAGAUAUCGGGAGGAACACCAAUGGCGAAGGCAGCUCGCUGGGACGGUACUGACGCUGAGGCGCGAAAGCGUGGGGAGCAAACAGG